rnacentral:tRNA from 1 species
GGAGUUGUGGCUCAGUGGUAGAGCCCUUGCCUUGCACAGAUGAGGCACUGAAUUCGAUCCUCAGCACCA